UACGAAGGGGGCUAGCGUUGCUCGGAAUCACUGGGCGUAAAGCGCACGUAGGCGGCUUUUUAAGUCAGGGGUGAAAUCCUGGAGCUCAACUCCAGAACUGCCUUUGAUACUGAGAAGCUUGAGUCCGGGAGAGGUGAGUGGAACUGCGAGUGUAGAGGUGAAAUUCGUAGAUAUUCGCAAGAACACCAGUGGCGAAGGCGGCUCACUGGCCCGGUACUGACGCUAAGGUGCGAAAGCGUGGGGAGCAAACAGG
rnacentral:rRNA from 1 species